rnacentral:rRNA from 1 species
GUGGGGGGUGGCAACCCGAGGGCGGCGCACAUAAUCCUGGGGCUGAAGUAGGUCCCAAGGGUAUGGCUGUUCGCCAUUUAAAGUGGUACGCGAGCYGGGUUUAGAACGUCGUGAGACAGUUCGGUCCCUAUCUGCCGUGGGCGCUGGAGAACUGAGGGGGGCUGCUCCUAGUACGAGAGGACCGGAGUGGACGCAUCACUGGUGUUCGGGUUGUCAUGCCAAUGGCACUGCCCGGUAGCUAAAUGCGGAAGAGAUAAGUGCUGAAAGCAUCUAAGCACGAAACUUGCCCCGAGAUGAGUUCUCCCUGAGACUUAGAGUCUCCUGAAGGAACGUUGAAGACGACGACGUUGAUAGGCCGGGUGUGUAAGCGCAGCGAUGCGUUGAGCUAACCGGUACUAAUGAACCGUGAGGCUUAACCUUACAACGCCGAAG